UACAGAGGGUGCGAGCGUUAAUCGGAAUUACUGGGCGUAAAGCGUGCGUAGACGGUUAUUUAAGUCGGGUGUGAAAGCCCCGGGCUCAACCUGGGAAUUGCAUUCGAGACUGAAUAGCUAGGGUACGGUAGAGGGAAGCGGAAUUUCUGGUGUAGCGGUGAAAUGCGUAGAUAUCAGAAGGAACAUCAGUGGCGAAAGCGGCUUCCUGGACCAGAACUGACGAUCAGGCUCGAAAGCGUGGGGAGCAAACAGG
rnacentral:rRNA from 1 species